rnacentral:rRNA from 1 species
UCCCAGACUCCUACGGGAGGCAGCAGUGGGGGAUAUUGCACAAUGGGGGGAACCCUGAUGCAGCGACGCCGCGUGGGUGAAGGAGCGUUUCGGCGCGUAAAGCCCUAUCGGCAGGGAAGAAGGAGGACGGUACCUGACUAAGAAGCCCCGGCUAACUACGUGCCAGCAGCCGCGGUAAUACGUAGGGGGCAAGCGUUAUCCGGAUUUACUGGGUGUAAAGGGGGCGCAGACGGCAGCGCAAGCCAGGAGUGAAAGCCCGGGGCCCAACCCCGGGACUGCUCUUGGAACUGCGCGGCUGGAGUGCAGGAGGGGCAGGCGGAAUUCCUGGUGUAGCGGUGGAAUGCGCAGAUAUUGGGAAGAACACCGGCGGCGAAGGCGGCCUUCUGGGCCACGACUGACGCUGAGGCGCGAAAGCUAGGGGAGCGAACAGGAUUAGAUACCCGCGUAUC